rnacentral:lncRNA from 1 species
AUUUUUCAGGUGAUACGGGUGGUGAGGAUUGCGAUGAGGCGUGAGACACGUUAGUAUCGAUAGAUAGAGCUUCCGACCCGGUUGAAUUGGUUUAGUUUCUCUCCUUGCUUAUUCAAAAUAAAUGACUUAGACAUUUAUGGUUCAGUGGUUUUAUUUCGGUUGAGUGUUUAUGGAUUUAUAAAGUUAAACAUUGUGACUUUUAUAACAGUUUGUGAGUUGUGAAAAUGGUUUUCUACCCCUCGUGGUAGUGUCUUUAAAGAAAAGAUUUCCGAGUGGAAAACAGUUUUAAAAGGGUUUUCUCGUGAAAAUGUAAUAGUAUGUUGUGUAGUGAAUGAUUGUGAUUGUACUUAUGCUUGCGUGACGCCGUACAAAUAUAGGGGAGGAUUUGUCCGUGUAAACAGUGGAUCUCCUGUAUUUGUGGCGGU